UUUUAUAUAGUGCUUUAAAUAUAAAGCCGUUGGCUGAAGCAUUGAUGUGAUAUCUUUGUCAAUGAUGGGACUUAAUUGACAUUAAGUUCGUUGUCCUUUCCAUAGCAAUUUGGGAGAGUAUUUAUUCUUUUUCAGUUAAGGAUUCAUACCAAAUAUGGAAUACUUCGUUACUCAGUCUUGAGGUUGAUAUGUUUGGCUUGAAUCAGAGUGCGCGGAAUCCAG
rnacentral:lncRNA from 1 species